AUGUCUGUAUGCACAGUUGUGUGUGCACAUGUGUAUAUGUGUGAGGGCGUGUGUGCAUAUGUGAACAUGCACAUGUGUGGAGGAGGUGGA